rnacentral:misc_RNA from 1 species
GAUGAAGAACGCAGCGAAAUGCGAUAAGUAAUGUGAAUUGCAGAAUUCAGUGAAUCAUCGAAUCUUUGAACGCACAUUGCGCCCGCCAGAAUGCUGGCGGGCAUGCCUGUUCGAGCGUCAUUUCAACCCUCAAGCUCUGCUUGGUGUUGGGGCCCUACGGUUGACGUAGGCCCUUAAAGGUAGUGGCGGACCCUCUCGGAGCCUCCUUUGCGUAGUAACUAACGUCUCGCAUUGGGAUUCGGAGGGACUCUUGCCGUAAAACCCCCAAAUUUUCUAAUGGUUGACCUCGGAUCAGGUAGGAAUACCCGCUGAACUUAAGCAUAUCAAUAAGCGGAGGA